UACGAAGGGGGCUAGCGUUGCCCGGAAUCACUGGGCGUAAAGGGUGCGUAGGCGGGUCUUUAAGUCAGGGGGGAAAUCCUGGAGCUCAACUCCAGAACUGCCUUUGAUACUGAAGAUCUUGAGUUCGGGAGAGGUGAGUGGAACUGCGAGUGUAGAGGUGAAAUUCGUAGAUAUUCGCAAGAACACCAGUGGCGAAGGCGGCUCACUGGCCCGAAACUGACGCUGAGGCACGAAAGCGUGGGGAGCAAACAGG
rnacentral:rRNA from 1 species